AGUGAACGCUGGCGGCGUGCCUAAUACAUGCAAGUCGAACGGAGUGGAGAACGGGUGAGUGAAGUAUAGCUAAUCUGCACUACACUAGAGGACAACAAUUGGAAAAGGCUGCUACUACUCUAUAGUGUAGGAUAAGGCUAUAUUGUAUCAGCUAGUUGGUGAGGUAAUUGAUAACUCAGGCGAUGACCCAUAACUGGUCUGAGAGGAUGAUCAGUAACACCCGAACUGAGACACGGUCCAGACUCCUACGGGAAGCAGCAGUAGGGAAUAUUGCUCAAUGCGCGAAACCCUGAAGCAGCAACGCCGCGUGGAGGAUGACACUUUUCGGAGCGUAAACUCCUUUUGUUACGGAAGCGGUACCUAACGAAUAAGCACCGGCUAACUCCGUGCCAGCAGCCGCGGUAAUAC
rnacentral:rRNA from 1 species